CCUUCCUUCUGCACUACACAUCAGUCCGGCGGCUGCGACGGAGUUCAGCAGCGGAGGCUCUCCGAAUCGGCACAUCAACCAUUGAGCUCUCGCAAUAAACCCUAGCUAGCUCGGUGGAUGGAUCUAGGUUGAUGAUGAUGGCGCAGCCCACGCGGUGGAUGCUGGCUCCUCUGCUUCGACUGGAUCAAAGAAAGGGGCACUUAAUCGGUUAGGAAUUUGGUUAUCGAAGGAACAAGUAACAUUGGGCAUUCAAUCGAUACGCACAUCCUCCGAGCUUCCACUCUCUACAUUCAGAUGGCACAAAAUCAUUCCUCACCGCUGGACAACGAGGAUCUCCUCCAGGAAAUCCUCCUCCGCCUCCCUCCGAAGCCGUCCU